AGCUCCAUUAGUGUAUAUUAAUGUUGCUGCAGUUAAAAAGCUCGUAGUCGAAUUUCUGAUUUGUCAAACUCGAACUGCUUUUUAUAUAAGAGUACGUCUCGAAUCGUUUGCGGAUCAUCAUGUUGAAGAGCAUUUCUGCCCUUGAUUGGGUUGGUUUUGCAAUUCAACUCUUUUACUGUGAGCAAAUGGGUGUGUUCAAAGCAGGUUUAUCUGCCUGAACCGUUUAGCAUGGAAUAAUGAUAUAGAACUUCGGUUCUACUUCGUUGGCUUAAGGACCAAAGUAAUGAUCUAAAGGGAUAGUUGGGGGUGCUCAUAUUCAGGGGGUAGCGGUGAAAUGCGAUGAUCCUCUGAAGAUGGACUAAUGCGAAAGCAUUCACCAAGGAUAUUUUCUUUGAUCAAG
rnacentral:rRNA from 1 species